rnacentral:rRNA from 1 species
GGAGUUAGCCGGUGCUUCUUCUGUGAGUGAUGUCCUUCCUGCCGGUUAUUGACCCGCAGGCCUUCUUCCUCACUGAAAGUGCUUUACAACCCGAAUGCCUUCUUCACACACGCGGCAUGGCUGGAUCAGGGUUGCCCCCAUUGUCCAAUAUUCCCCACUGCUGCCUCCCGUAGGAGUCUGGGCCGUGUCUCAGUCCCAGUGUGGCUGAUCAUCCUCUCAGACCAGCUACGGAUCGUCGCCUUGGUGAGCCGUUACCUCACCAACCAGCUAAUCCGACAUAGGCUCAUCCGAUAGCGCGAGGCCCGAAGGUCCCCCGCUUUCCCCCGUAGGGCGUAUGCGGUAUUAGCCUGGGUUUCCCCCAGGUUAUCCCCCACUACCGGGCAGAUUCCUAUGCAUUACUCACCCGUCCGCCGCUCGCCACCAGGGAGCAAGCUCCCCGUGCUGCCGCUCGACUUGCAUGUGUUAGGCCUGCCGCCAGCGUUCAAUCUGAGCAGAANACAACUACUGA